rnacentral:rRNA from 1 species
AGAGUUUGAUCAUGGCUCAGGAUGAACGCUAGCUACAGGCUUAACACAUGCAAGUCGAGGGGCAGCAUUUUAGUUUGCUUGCAAACUAAAGAUGGCGACCGGCGCACGGGUGAGUAACACGUAUCCAACCUGCCGAUAACUCGGGGAUAGCCUUUCGAAAGAAAGAUUAAUAUCCGAUAGUAUAUUAAAACCGCAUGGUUUUACUAUUAAAGAAUUUCGGUUAUCGAUGGGGAUGCGUUCCAUUAGUUGUUGGCGGGGUAACGGCCACAAGACUACGAUGGGAUAGGGGUUCUGAGAGGAAGGUCCCCCANAUUGGAACUGAGACACGGUCCAAACUCCUACGGGAGGCA